AUGACGGCCACCAAUGCUGGUGGUCACCUACAGGUUCUCAUGGUGGUGGCCACCAAGAGGUGCCACCGAGGGUCACCUGCAGGUUCCAAAGAUGGCCACCGAGAUCUGAUGGCGGUGGCCACCGAGGUGUUCUGGCCAUGGCCCCCCAGAUUCUCUGCCACCGCUCCCACUGCCUACUCGCUGGUCCCCUGCCUCAGUGACUGCGAUAGCGAGGGCAACGUCACCAUCGGCUGCUUCGUGAACGACUUCUUCCCCGAGCCCGUCACCAUCAGCUGGGUGUCCAGCGUUGCGGGUGACCAGGUCACCUUCCCGGCCGUCCAGGGCAGUGACAGCUUCUACAGCGCCAGCAGCCAGCUCACGGUGCCAGCCAGCAGCUACUGCGACAACUCCUUCCAGUGCAAGGUCAACCACGUGCCCACCUCCACCUCCCUCACCGAAGUCAUCGAGGGUAAGUGUCCUGUUGACCCCCUGGUGAAGCUCCUCAGCUACCCAACCCAAGAAGACCCCGAGAAUAGGGUCCUGCUGGUGUGCCUCAUCGAGGGGCUGAAGGGCAGCAACGCCGAGGUGGAGUGGCUGGUGAACAAGGAGGUCCAGAACCUGGAGGAGGACAACUACAGCUGCAGCGAGUGCUCCAACAAGGCGGCCACGCAGUGGAGCCAGGUCAACGUCAGCCGGCAGAGCUGGGACCAGGGGGCCGAGUUCUCCUGCAGGGUGUCCCACCCGUCGCUCAAGGAGCCCAUCGUCAAGUCCAUCAGCACCUACUGCAAAAGUCCCGGACCCAAGCUGGAUGUCACCGUCCUCCCCCCGUCCUUGGAGGACCUCUACAUCAGCCAGAACGCCAGCAUCACCUGCGUGGUGGCCAACGCCCCUGAAGACCUGAAGCUCUCCUGGUCCCGGAGCACCGCGACCGCCUUGGACGUGUCCUCCGGGGAGCCCGAGAAGCAGGAAAACGGCCUCUACCGCCUCACCAGUGUCCUGAAGGUCUGCGCCGAGGAGUGGAACAGUGGUGAGACCUUCUCCUGCUCUGUGUCCGGCUCGGAGCUCCAAGGACCCAUCAAGAAGUCAGUGAAGAAAGACCUAGCCGUCUCGGUGCAGGCACCCUCCGUCUACAUCUUCCCCCCGCCGGUGGAGGAGCUGGCCCGCCAGGAGACCGCGACCUUGACCUGCCUGGCCUCGGGCUUCCGUCCCCGCGACAUCUUGGUCACCUGGACCCAGCAGGACCGGCCGGUGUCUUCCGGAAGCUUCUCCACCUUCGGCCCGCAGGAAGGCGACGGCGGCCUCUUCAGCAUCUACAGCAAGCUGAGCGUGUCGGCGUCCGAGUGGCAGCGGGGGGACAGCUUCGCCUGCGUGGUGGGGCACGACGGGAUCCCGAUGAACUUCGUGCAGAAGAGCCUGGACAAGAGCACGGCCUCCCCAGAAUGCAUCAUGGUGGUCCUGGGCAAGGAGACGGAGCUGGAGACGGAGGAAGACGUCACCGACCUCUGGACCGCCGUGGCCUUCGUCAUCCUCUUCCUCCUCAGCCUCUGCUACAGCACCGGCGUCACCCUCUUCAAGGUACCCCCCCCACACACACCCCCCAACAAUAAUAAUUAG